rnacentral:rRNA from 1 species
CCUACGGGUGGCAGCAGUGAGGAAUAUUGGUCAAUGGGCGUAAGCCUGAACCAGCCAAGUCGCGUGAGGGAUGAAGGUUCUAUGGAUCGUAAACCUCUUUUAUAAGGGAAUAAAGUGCGGGACGUGUCCCGUUUUGUAUGUACCUUAUGAAUAAGGAUCGGCUAACUCCGUGCCAGCAGCCGCGGUAAUACGGAGGAUCCGAGCGUUAUCCGGAUUUAUUGGGGUUAAAGGGUGCGUAGGCGGCCUUUUAAUUCAGCGGGGAAAGUCUUUGGCUCAACCAUAGAAUUGCCGUUGAAACUGGGAGGCUUGAGGAUGUUUGAGGCAGGCGGAAUGCGUGGUGUAGCGGUGAAAUGCUUAGAUAUCACGCAGAACCCCGAUUGCGAAGGCAGCCUGCCAAGCCAUGACUGACGCUGAUGCACGAAAGCGUGGGGAUCAAACAGGAUUAGAUACCCCAGUAGUC